rnacentral:lncRNA from 1 species
UGUAACUACUCAAGUAACUUGACAAGUGACUGAUUAUUUGCAACGUGCCGCUGCACCGUAACAAUAGACCGACUAUGUAACUACCUACUUAGGUAACUUGACAAGUGACUGAUUAUUUGCAACGUGCCGCUGCACCGCAACAAUAGACCGACUAUGUAACUACCUACUUAGGUAAUUAAGUAACUACCAUAUGUAACUACUUAAGUAAUUGGUCAUGUGAUUCGCUAUAUAUGUAACUACUUAAGUAACUAGCAAUAUAACUAGCAAUGCAACUAUCUAUGUAUUUGGCAACGUAACUAGCAAUUUGUUUAGUCUCGCUCUGGUACUAUUCUUCAGAACCUUUUUCUUCCUCUUUGGCAUUUCUUCUCCUUAUGUCCUUACUUAGAGAUGGGAACACAUGCAUCAGCAUUCCUCUGGCAUUUCUUCUCCUUAUGUCCUUACUUAGAGAUGGGAACACAUGCAUUAGCAUGGUCGGGAGGAUACAAAAAACAAAACAUAUGAUGAGAAGAGCAUCUCUGCAAGGAUCAAGAAAUGAGUUAGCUAAUAGUUCAUAUCAACAAGGACAUUAAAUUUCUGAACACCAAGUACAUGAACUACAAACUUAAUAUCAUCAUUCCAUAAACUUCAUGAUCCCAAUUCACAACGAGAAAAUGGAACUAACACAAACAACAUCACAGAAUUGUGUUCCUGAGCAGUAUGCAGAUUUACCUUGAUUGAGAACAAUACAACCGUUGGAUCGCUAUGAUUUUCAAUCAAAGAAUAGAGACAUGAUUUUGAACAACUUUUGUGAAGAAGCUGUUCUGGAAUAAAUCAUAGAAGUGGAACUUUUGAGCUGUUGAAGUUGAUUGGCGGGAAUGACUUCCAGCAGAAGUUUUCAGCUUACAACUCUCUCUCUCAAUUCAAGUUGAUGGACCAGAGAUUCAUCAGAGCUCCCUCAAAACUCAAGAGCUUAAAGACUAGAUUAAAACUUUACACUUCGAAAUCACCAGGAAGAACAACCAUGAAAUCCAAAACAAACAGGGUACCAAAAAAAUCCCAAUACUAGAAGCAAUUCAGUUAACUCUAAUCCAACCCCAUCAAAUUCACAAACCAAGUUCGAAUUUUUAUCACUCAAUUUUACAAAACCAAGCCGACCCUAAGCACAAACAUCCAAGCAAAACGAAAAUCAAAGAUUAAAUCCCACAAAACCCAAAUAACAUAAAUAAGCAAAUCCACUAAUUCUCAACACAAAACGCAAAAAAUUCAAGCUAAAGCAACACAGUCACAUACCAAUUCGAAGCGCUUCACCUCGGCCGAAACCGUCUUGGAGACGCAAACCUCUCCGAAACCGGGUCCAUGUUCUUAAACUCCUUGUGGUUUCAAGACUAGAGCUCACCUUCACCGGAUCUAUCGCCUACCUCCAGUCCAUUUUUACCGGAUCCAUCGAAUUCCAACGUUGGAACGUUACCGAUUUCGACCAAUUCUUCGACAACAACCAGAUCUGAUUCUUCGACAACUCCGAGCCCAAUCACAUCCUUCUUCUUCGCCGCCAACAACUUGGCCAGGAUGAAGACUAUGGUCCUCACGUUUGGUCUAGAUGCAGGAGAGAGAGAGAGAGAGACGACGAAAUUAACUGAGAGAGAGACGACGAAACUCAGAAUGAAUAAAAAACAUCUGAUAUUAGAGAGAAGGGUACAAUGGUCAUGUAAAAAUGUGAAAAUAGACAUUUUUAUCAUUUAAGAUGUUAUGAGGUGACUAUUUUAUCAUGUAACAUGUUUUAAUGAUGACCUUUUUAUCAAGUGGAACAUUUGAAGACUAUUUUAUCAUUUGUACCUUUAAAUGGUAGUUUAGUAUUAUAUUCUCUUUUUUCUUUUCUUCCUUCACAAACAAAAAUAUCAUACGUCAAAUGAAAAGUCAUUAACAGCUUUACUAGAUAGACGCAUGAAACCUAGUUUAUGUACGCCUGAUAAAUCUACGAGCAAUCUAUAGUAUGAUUUCUGAUUUCUAGUUUGUAUAAAAAGAGGUUCAUAUCGAUGUGUAGCUAUUCUAUU